GACGAACGCUGGCGGCGUGCCUAAUACAUGCAAGUCGAGCGAAGUUUUUCUGGUGCUUGCACCGGAAAAACUUAGCGGCGAACGGGUGAGUAACACGUAAAGAACCUGCCUUAUAGACUGGGACAACUAUUGGAAACGAUAGCUAAUACCGGAUAACAGCAUUAACUGCAUGGUUGAUGUUUGAAAGUUGGUUUUGCUAACACUAUGAGAUGGCUUUGCGAUGCAUUAGCUAGUUGGUGGGGUAAAGGCCUACCAAGGCGACGAUGCAUAGCCGACCUGAGAGAGUGAUCGGCCACACUGGGACUGAGACACGGCCCAGACUCCUACGGGAGGCAGCAGUAGGGAAUCUUCCGCAAUGGGCGAAAGCCUGACGGAGCAACGCCGCGUGAGUGAAGAAGGAUUUCGGUUCGUAAAGCUCUGUUGUUAGGGAAGAAUGAUUGUGUAGUAACUAUACACAGUAGAGACGGUACCUAACCAGAAAGCCACGGCUAACUACGUG
rnacentral:rRNA from 1 species